ACUCCUACGGGAGGCAGCAGUAGGGAAUCUUCCACAAUGGGCGCAAGCCUGAUGGAGCAACACCGCGUGAGUGAAGAAGGGUUUCGGCUCGUAAAGCUCUGUUGUUAAAGAAGAACACGUAUGAGAGUAACUGUUCAUACGUUGACGGUAUUUAACCAGAAAGUCACGGCUAACUACGUGCCAGCAGCCGCGGUAAUACGUAGGUGGCAAGCGUUAUCCGGAUUUAUUGGGCGUAAAGAGAGUGCAGGCGGUUUUCUAAGUCUGAUGUGAAAGCCUUCGGCUUAACCGGAGAAGUGCAUCGGAAACUGGAUAACUUGAGUGCAGAAGAGGGUAGUGGAACUCCAUGUGUAGCGGUGGAAUGCGUAGAUAUAUGGAAGAACACCAGUGGCGAGGGCGGCUACCUGGUCUGCAACUGACGCUGAGACUCGAAAGCAUGGGUAGCGAACAGGAUUAGAUACCCUGGUAGGAUAGCG
rnacentral:rRNA from 1 species